AGAGCCUCAAAGAGCACCCAGCAUAACUGUGGGAGAAUAGUAAGCAUUGGACACAAAAUGUAACUCCAGGUUGAAGAACUUCUACUUAUAGGCAUCUAUUCAACGAAGACGAAUCCUGGAAUGGGGAUGGAAAUGAUGGCUCAUGUCUUAGCAAACUACCAAACUGAUCCGAGAGGACAGGGAAGUCAGUGUGGGCGGCUCUAAGGAGCCUCCCUCUCUACAGCUGCGGCUCAGAGGAUUACGGCGCUUCAUCCACAAGGCAACAUUGCACAAGUAGCUUUUGAACAAAAGUCAUGGAUACUAUUAAUGAUAUGGUAAUCCUUAAUCGAGCUACCUCCCAGUAGUGAUUAUACUGACAUGGGAAGAAUAUCUAAGUCGUGGAGGCAGCCCACAACAACACUGUGUCAUUGUUCACCCCGGGCUCGACCAGGACUAACUUUUACCAGCAUCUCUAACGUCACCUUUCCCCUGAUGCCUCCCCACAACCCCUGGCCCCAGCUCCCAUUCCCGCCCCAUCAUAGCAAAAAAGUAGCAAAGAAAACCCUGAUCCUAAAUCUUUUUCUGGAUUUUUUUUUGCAAGUUCCCACACACAUUUAGUGUCGUCUCAAAAUUCACGCUGUCAACUGUCUCUAGGAAUCAUUUCCAUCUGAGAACAGACCACACAAAGGUUAGUUCGGUGGGUCUCAGUGAAGAUGUUUUAAUUGUCUGACAAUAGAUUCUUCCAUCAUUUGACUUGCAAAUACUGUCCUCUUGCUCUCAGAUAACAUGUUCAGAAUUAGACCAUUUGUCAAUAAAUUUCCCAAAACUCCUUAAUUAUGAUACUGAAAUACAAGUGGUUUGCCAUUUGACAAGACUCAAUUACAAUCCAGCAGGGAAAAUCUUAUGGCUCACUAAACUGUGGGACUCCCCGAAAGGCCAAACUUAAUUUACUCAUAGAUGAGUCCCCUUAACAUAAGGAAAGUGACCUUCAUAAAGACAGAAUAUAUCUAUGAUUUUUAUGUAAUUAUAUGUGUGGGAUAAACAUGUUCAAAUGACUUGUGGUAAAUGUACUAAUGAAGCUAAAGAAACUAUACCCUAACUACC
rnacentral:lncRNA from 1 species